CCAGACUCCUACGGGAGGCAGCAGUGGGGAAUAUUGCACAAUGGGGGGAACCCUGAUGCAGCGACGCCGCGUGAGUGAAGAAGUAUUUCGGUAUGUAAAGCUCUAUCAGCAGGGAAGAAAAUGACGGUACCUGACUAAGAAGCCCCGGCUAACUACGUGCCGGCAGCCGCGGUAAUACGUAGGGGGCAAGCGUUAUCCGGAUUUACUGGGUGUAAAGGGAGCGUAGACGGCAUGGCAAGUCAGAUGUGAAAGCCCGGGGCUCAACCCCGGGACUGCAUUUGAAACUGUCAGGCUGGAGUGCAGGAGGGGCAGGCGGAAUUCCUGGUGUAGCGGUGAAAUGCGUAGAUAUCAGGAGGAACACCGGUGGCGAAGGCGGCCUGCUGGACUGCGACUGACGUUGAGGCCCGAAAGCGUGGGGAGCAAACAGGAUUAGAUACCCUAGUAUC
rnacentral:rRNA from 1 species